rnacentral:rRNA from 1 species
GACGAACGCUGGCGGCGUGCCUAAUACAUGCAAGUCGAACGCAGUGGGGACGGGUGAGUAACACGUGGGUAACCUCCCAUCAGAGGGGAUAACACUUGGAAACAGGUGCUAAACCGAUACUGAUUGAUGUACCCGCGGUGCAUUAGCUAGUUGGUGAGGUAACGGCUCACCAAGGCCACGAUGCAUAGCUGAGCUGAGAGGGUGAUCGGCCACACUGGGACGGAGACACGGCCAAGACUCCUACGUGAGGCAGCAGUAGGGAAUCUUGGGCAAUGGACGAAAGGCUGACCGAGCAACGCCGCGUGAGUGAAGAAGGUCUUCGGAUCGUAAAACUCUGUUGGUAGAGAAGCGGUAUCUAACCAGAAAGCAACGGCUAACUACGUGCCAGCCGCCGCGGUAAUUC